GAUGAACGCUGGCGGCGUGCUUAACACAUGCAAGUCGAACGGAAAGGCCCAAGCUUGCUUGGGUACUCGAGUGGCGAACGGGUGAGUAACACGUGGGUGAUCUGCCCUGCACUUCGGGAUAAGCCUGGGAAACUGGGUCUAAUACCGGAUAGGACCACUUCUUGGAUGUUGUGGUGGAAAGUUUUUUCGGUGUGGGAUGAGCUCGCGGCCUAUCAGCUUGUUGGUGGGGUAAUGGCCUACCAAGGCGUCGACGGGUAGCCGGCCUGAGAGGGUGUACGGCCACAUUGGGGAUGAGGUACGGCCCAGACUCCUACGGGGGGCAGCAGUGGGGAAUAUUGCACAAUGGGCGCAAGCCUGAUGCAGCGACGCCGCGUGGGGGAUGACGGCCUUCGGGUUGUAAACUCCUUUCGCUAGGGACGAAGCGUUUUGUGACGGUACCUGGAGAAGAAGCACCGGCUAACUACGUG
rnacentral:rRNA from 1 species